AGGCAGCAGUGGGGAAUAUUGGACAAUGGGCGCAAGCCUGAUCCAGCCAUACCGCGUGGGUGAAGAAGGCCUUCGGGUUGUAAAGCCCUUUUGUUGGGAAAGAAAUCCAGCCGGCUAAUACCUGGUUGGGAUGACGGUACCCAAAGAAUAAGCACCGGCUAACUUCGUGCCAGCAGCCGCGGUAAUACGAAGGGUGCAAGCGUUACUCGGAAUUACUGGGCGUAAAGCGUGCGUAGGUGGUUAUUUAAGUCCGUUGUGAAAGCCCUGGGCUCAACCUGGGAACUGCAGUGGGUACUGGAUGACUAGAAUGUGGUAGAGGGUAGCGGAAUUCCUGGUGUAGCAGUGAAAUGCGUAGAGAUCAGGAGGAACAUCCAUGGCGAAGGCAGCUACCUGGACCAACAUUGACACUGAGGCACGAAAGCGUGGGGAGCAAACAGGAUUAGAUACCCUGGUAGUCCACGCCCUAAACGAUGCGAACUGGAUGUUGGGUGCAAUUUGGCACGCAGUAUCGAAGCUAACGCGUUAAGUUCGCCGCCUGGGGAGUACGGUCGCAAGACUGAAACUCAAAGGAAUUGACGGGGGCCCGCACAAGCGGUGGAGUAUGUGGUUUAAUUCGAUGCAACGCGAAGAACCUUAC
rnacentral:rRNA from 1 species